GAUGAACGCUGGCGGCGUGCCUAAUACAUGCAAGUCGAGCGAAUGGAUUAAGAGCUUGCUCUUAUGAAGUUAGCGGCGGACGGGUGAGUAACACGUGGGUAACCUGCCCAUAAGACUGGGAUAACUCCGGGCAACCGGGGCUAAUACCGGAUAACAUUUUGAACCGCAUGGUUCGAAAUUGAAUGACUGCUUCGGAUGUCAUUUAUGGAUGGACCCGGGUCGCAUUAGCGAGUUGGUGAGGGAACGGCUCACCAAGGCAACGAUGAGUAGCCGACCUGAGAGGGUGAUCGGCCACACUGGGACUGAGACACGGCCCAGACUCCUACGGGAGGCAGCAGUAGGGAAUCUUCCGCAAUGGACGAAAGUCUGACGGAGCAACGCCGCGUGAGUGAUGAAGGCUUUCGGGUCGUAAAACUCUGUUGUUAGGGAAGAACAAGUGCUAGUUGAAUAAGCUGGCACCUUGACGGUACCUAACCAGAAAGCCACGGCUAACUACGUGCCAGCCGCCGCGGUAA
rnacentral:rRNA from 1 species